rnacentral:rRNA from 2 species
CGAACGCUGGCGGCGUGCUUAACACAUGCAAGUCGAACGGUAAGGCCCCUUCGGGGGUACACGAGUGGCGAACGGGUGAGUAACACGUGGGUGAUCUGCCCUGCACUCUGGGAUAAGCCUGGGAAACUGGGUCUAAUACCGGAUAUGAGCUCCUGUCGCAUGGCGGGGGUUGGAAAGGUUUACUGGUGCAGGAUGGGCCCGCGGCCUAUCAGCUUGUUGGUGGGGUAAUGGCCUACCAAGGCGACGACGGGUAGCCGGCCUGAGAGGGCGACCGGCCACACUGGGACUGAGACACGGCCCAGACUCCUACGGGAGGCAGCAGUGGGGAAUAUUGCACAAUGGGCGAAAGCCUGAUGCAGCGACGCCGCGUGAGGGAUGACGGCCUUCGGGUUGUAAACCUCUUUCAGCAGGGACGAAGCGAGAGUGACGGUACCUGCAGAAGAAGCACCGGCCAACUACGUGCCAGCAGCCGCGGUAAUACGUAGGGUGCGAGCGUUGUCCGGAAUUACUGGGCGUAAAGAGCUCGUAGGCGGUUUGUCGCGUCGUCCGUGAAAACUUGGGGCUCAACCCCAAGCUUGCGGGCGAUACGGGCAGACUUGAGUACUGCAGGGGAGACUGGAAUUCCUGGUGUAGCGGUGAAAUGCGCAGAUAUCAGGAGGAACACCGGUGGCGAAGGCGGGUCUCUGGGCAGUAACUGACGCUGAGGAGCGAAAGCGUGGGUAGCGAACAGGAUUAGAUAC